rnacentral:rRNA from 1 species
CCUACGGGAGGCAGCAGUGGGGAAUCUUGCGCAAUGGGCGAAAGCCUGACGCAGCCAUGCCGCGUGAAUGAUGAAGGUCUUAGGAUUGUAAAAUUCUUUCACCGGGGACGAUAAUGACGGUACCCGGAGAAGAAGCCCCGGCUAACUUCGUGCCAGCAGCCGCGGUAAUACGAAGGGGGCUAGCGUUGCUCGGAAUUACUGGGCGUAAAGGGAGCGUAGGCGGAUAGUUUAGUCAGAGGUGAAAGCCCAGGGCUCAACCUUGGAAUUGCCUUUGAUACUGGCUAUCUUGAGUAUGGGAGAGGUAUGCGGAACUCCGAGUGUAGAGGUGAAAUUCGUAGAUAUUCGGAAGAACACCAGUGGCGAAGGCGGCAUACUGGCCCAUUACUGACGCUGAGGCUCGAAAGCGUGGGGAGCAAACAGGAUUAGAUACCCUGGUAGUCCACGCUGUAAACGAUGAGUGCUAGUUGUCGGCAUGCAUGCAUGUCGGUGACGCGAGCUACGACAUAAGACACUCCGCCGUCGGGGUAGGUACGGUCGCGAAGAAGUUAAAACGUAACGAAAGAAAGUUAGACGGCGUGAGACGUGACCGAACGGACGACGACGAGGGAGGUUAGG